rnacentral:lncRNA from 1 species
UAAUCGAUUAAGGAGUGAACCUAUUUUAGGGUUUCCUUUCUUACUUAAUCUAAUCAAUUAGCUUGUCAUUUCUAAUUGAUUAAAGAACACUCAAGUUCAUGGAUUGUUUCCUUUUUAGCUAAAUUUGUUUCCUAUAUAAAGAAUUUUUACGUUAACUGCUAAAGUAUGAAUUUGCUAAAUUAUCAAAUUUCUUAUCUCACUUAUUCUUCAAUUAAAAUCAUUUCUACUCACUAAAUAUUAUCUUAGUACAAAGAGAGUGAAAAUAUUAUCUUGAGUUAUGUAUUUCUGUUAGUAUGCUUACUUUGUUUAUUCAAGAGCUUAGUUAUCUUGUGCAUUUGAAAUUGAUUUGGAGCUUGCAAGAUAAACUAUAAAAUGUUUGUUGUAAGGAAGGUUCUUGGGGUGAACCUAUGUAAAAUCAUAAGUUAUUGAUAGUGGAAAUAUCAAGAGGAAACUCUUGGGAAUUGGAGUAAGUCUUGUGGUUUAUGUCAAACACGUAUAAU